rnacentral:rRNA from 1 species
CAUAGGUUAAUGAGGCGAACCGGGGGAACUGAAACAUCUAAGUACCCCGAGGAAAAGAAAUCAACCGAGAUUCCCCCAGUAGCGGCGAGCGAACGGGGAGCAGCCCAGAGCCUGAAUCAGUGUGUGUGUUAGUGGAAGCGUCUGGAAAGGCGCGCGAUACAGGGUGACAGCCCCGUACACAAAAAUGCACAUGCUGUGAGCUCGAUGAGUAGGGCGGGACACGUGGUAUCCUGUCUGAAUAUGGGGGGACCAUCCUCCAAGGCUAAAUACUCCUGACUGACCGAUAGUGAACCAGUACCGUGAGGGAAAGGCGAAAAGAACCCCGGCGAGGGGAGUGAAAAAGAACCUGAAACCGUGUACGUACAAGCAGUGGGAGCACAGAGCAAUCUGUGUGACUGCGUACCUUUUGUAUAAUGGGUCAGCGACUUAUAUUCUGUAGCAAGGUUAACCGAAUAGGGGAGCCGAAGGGAAACCGAGUCUUAACUGGGCGUUAAGUUGCAGGGUAUAGACCCGAAACCCGGUGAUCUAGCCAUGGGCAGGUUGAAGGUUGGGUAACACUAACUGGAGGACCGAACCGACUAAUGUUGAAAAAUUAGCGGAUGACUUGUGGCUGGGGGUGAAAGGCCAAUCAAACCGGGAGAUAGCUGGUUCUCCCCGAAAGCUAUUUAGGUAGCGCCUCGUGAAUUCAUCUCCGGGGGUAGAGCACUGUUUCGGCAAGGGGGUCAUCCCGACUUACCAACCCGAUGCAAACUGCGAAUACCGGAGAAUGUUAUCACGGGAGACACACGGCGGGUGCUAACGUCCGUCGUGAAGAGGGAAACAACCCAGACCGCCAGCUAAGGUCCCAAAGUCAUGGUUAAGUGGGAAACGAUGUGGGAAGGCCCAGACAGCCAGGAUGUUGGCUUAGAAGCAGCCAUCAUUUAAAGAAAGCGUAAUAGCUCACUGGUCGAGUCGGCCUGCGCGGAAGAUGUAACGGGGCUAAACCAUGCACCGAAGCUGCGGCAGCGACGCUUAUGCGUUGUUGGGUAGGGGAGCGUUCUGUAAGCCUGCGAAGGUGUGCUGUGAGGCAUGCUGGAGGUAUCAGAAGUGCGAAUGCUGACAUAAGUAACGAUAAAGCGGGUGAAAAGCCCGCUCGCCGGAAGACCAAGGGUUCCUGUCCAACGUUAAUCGGGGCAGGGUGAGUCGACCCCUAAGGCGAGGCCGAAAGGCGUAGUCGAUGGGAAACAGGUUAAUAUUCCUGUACUUGGUGUUACUGCGAAGGGGGGACGGAGAAGGCUAUGUUGGCCGGGCGACGGUUGUCCCGGUUUAAGCGUGUAGGCUGGUUUUCCAGGCAAAUCCGGAAAAUCAAGGCUGAGGCGUGAUGACGAGGCACUACGGUGCUGAAGCAACAAAUGCCCUGCUUCCAGGAAAAGCCUCUAAGCAUCAGGUAACAUCAAAUCGUACCCCAAACCGACACAGGUGGUCAGGUAGAGAAUACCAAGGCGCUUGAGAGAACUCGGGUGAAGGAACUAGGCAAAAUGGUGCCGUAACUUCGGGAGAAGG